AUGCCAGAUCACCUAAAGUGUUAUCAGAAAGAUGCAAGCAUGCAGGUGUCGAAGACUUUCAUGCACAACAUAAUCUACGUCCAGGCAUUGGAGAUAGUAAAACUAGCUGACAGCGGCAUGGUUACUUUCCAGCAUGCUAUAAUGGGAUUGGAUAAAGUAAAGAAUGAUCUUGAAAAGAUUAUAGCAGCAGGAAUUACACAGGGACAAGCUUCUAAUGACAAAGGCAAUGCAGCUCAAGCAAGCAAAGAGCCAACACAGGAAACAACUCAAGGAUUCAAAGAAAAUGAGACCACACCUACAGAGAACCAACAAACGGAUGAAGGAUUGAAGAACGAAAUGGGCAACAUGUUCUCACAAGGUUCUCAAAGUUGUUUAGCACCUGAAAAGAGAUCAGCCAAAGGUAGACCCAAAAUGAAGCGUUUCAAGUCAGCGGCUGAAGGCGCAUCAAACAAGAGCACAAGGAAGUGUGCGAUAUGUGGAUCUAGGGACCAUUUCACAAAGUCUUGCCCUUGCCACCUUGUUGGUGCAGCAUCAUCAAGCCAUUCUGAGGGAGAUGCCGACUUAACAGUUGAAGACCAUGUCAACACAGAUGUUGUUGAAGAAAAAGAUGUCAAUCAGCAAAGCCAGAUGGGAGAACAAAGUAGGAGAACUGAAAACAUCAAUACUCCCAAGUCUGUCCAGAGGAGGUGCAAGAAAUGCGGUCUGCCUGGUCAUUACACUCCUAAGUGCCCAAAAUUCUAUGGCCCCAAAAAGCCUCCAAAAGAGGUGACAUGCAAAAAAUGUUGCCUGGGAGGUCACUACUCGUCGACUUGUGGAGGGGAGUCUUCAUACAAAAGAAAGCGUUAA
rnacentral:rRNA from 1 species